rnacentral:rRNA from 1 species
ACGGAGGACCCGAGCGUUAUCCGGAUUUAUUGGGUUUAAAGGGUGCGUAGGCGGAUUGGUAAGUUAGAGGUGAAAGCUCAGCGCUUAACGUUGAAACUGCCUCUGAUACUGUCGGUCUAGAGUAUAGUUGCGGAAGGCGGAAUGUGUGGUGUAGCGGUGAAAUGCUUAGAUAUCACACAGAACACCGAUUGCGAAGGCAGCUUUCCAAGCUAUCACUGACGCUGAGGCACGAAAGCGUGGGGAGCGAACAG